rnacentral:rRNA from 1 species
AUGUCGUCAUGGGUGGUGGAUAUGGAGAAGAAGGUCCAGGGCGCUGAGCCGCCGGCGAAGGUGGAGAAAUGGCGGAAACACUGCAUCUUCCGCGUCCCGUUGCGCUUCAAGGUGAUCGAUGGCAGGGUGAGCAGCGUAUACAAACCGCAGACAGUGUCUUUGGGCCCAUUCCACCACGACGACAAGGACCUGAAACCCAUGGAGGAGCACAAGCUGAGGGCCGUACAUCACCUCCUCCACCGGGACAGCUGCAAGACCACACUUUCCGAGCUCGUCGCCACCAUGGAGAAGGAAGGUGAGGAGCUUCAGGAUGCCUACAUGGAACUGGGCGACGAGUGGCGGGGUGAGGAGAACAGGGGUAAGUUCCUGGAGAUGAUGAUCAUCGACGGUUGCUUCCUACUGGAGGUGAUGAGGACGGCCAUAGGUGGGAAGUACUCCAUUCCCAAGGACUACAAGCAGGAUGACCCCGUCUUUAGCUGGCAUGGCAUCCAGCACAUCAAGCCGUUCGUCCUACGCGACAUGCUCCUGGUCGAGAACCAGCUGCCACUCAGGUUGCUCGAGAAAAUCGUCACCGCAGAGAGCGGCAGAUCUCCGAGUGCGUCUUGGAUCAAUUCCAUGGUGCUUAAAUUCCUGGAAGGCAAAGAUGCCCCCGAAGGGUCCGAUGAGUUGGGACUCCACCCGCUCGACAUAUACCGAAGGAGCCAGCUCAAGGGCCAUCUGAAACCUUAUCAGAGGGACAGAGGUGGCGUGGAGAACACCAUACCGACAGCGAAUGCCGUCGUUGCCGUCACAAGAGAGUGCAAGACGACCUACCUCGACGACAUCAACCUGGACAAUGGCAGGCUCCACAUGCCCAAGUUCCAUCUCGACGACUCCACGGCCUACAAGUUCCACAACAUGAUGGCGUUCGAGGCGAUGCACGUCAGCACUGAAAAUGACGUGACGGCCUACGUGCUCUUCGUCAAGGACCUCAUGGACUCCGCCCAAGACGUGCGCCUGCUCGUGAAGAAGAGGAUCCUUGAGCAUGACCUCGCCGACGACGACGAUGCCGUGGUGAAGCUCUUCAACAGCCUCACCAGGGACGUGUACAAGAACUGGGAGAGUAAAUUGUGCCGCGUACGUGAGGACGUGGAGCACCACUACCUCAGCAACCGCCCGCGUGUCGUCCUGUACGAGUGGUGGGCAAACCUCAAAAGCAGGUACUUCAGGAGCCCGUGGACGCUCCUUGCCUUCAUCACCGCCAUCUUGCUCAUCGUCGGAGACAUCGUGCAGGCUGUGUUUGCAGUCUUAUCCUAUUAUAAACCUGACAAGGAUAAGCCCAAAAUGCCUUAA